UUGUAGAAGAAGGGAAUGAUAAUAUUCAAAAGAUAGAACUUGAUUUGCAAAAAAUUGCAUUGGAAGCAACUGUUGAUAUAUUGUAGAUGCCAGGAAGAAAAUACUUGAUUGUUGAUGACUU